CUUUUCGUACAUUUCGUACACAGGGAUAAAACGCUUGCACAAAGAUCUAUUUUAUAUAAAUACAUCUGCGAACUUUUAUAAGAAAUAAUAAUAAAAGCAAAAGGAAGAAGUUGUUGAGAAGAAGUUCACCUAUCGUGGUGUUGACUGAGAUCAUUUAUUAGAUAUGUCCAAAAAGAGAGCUACUGCUGCAGGUUGUGAUGGAGUCAAGUAU